CAGGAGGAGUGUGUGGUGGCUCAUUCACUGCUGAACUCGCGCUGUGACUGUGUCCAUGAUGAACCGUGUCCUCUGUGUUUUUAGUUUGAAUCCCGUUUUCCCAGUUUUACUCAGUGCAGCUGAAAGUCGAACUCAGCCUCUGUCGUCAUGUCUGGGUUUAUUUGGUGGAGGCUGAACAUGAGAGAGAAGUCAGAGCUGAAACUGGAACACAAUGUGGACGGUUAAAGAUGUGAAUCUGACAUCAGGGUGACUCAGGUUUCACCAGGAUCUGAGAAGAUGGAGACUGAAGAGCAGAAGGAUGCUGUGGUUCAGAUUCUGCUGGUUGACUCAGCAAAGGAUGGAGAAGCACCAAUUAUGUUUACAUGCAUAAAAUAUUCCAGCUUUGCCUUUUAGUCUGGAAAAAAAAAACAAAUCAAUAUUUUAUUAGUAUUCCUGUUUUCAUGCAGCCAUUUAUACCACAACUUACAAGGAACCUUUUCCGGGAGAUGUUUAGCGUCACAUUUUUUGGUUCCUUCAAACACCACCUUGAGGUCAAUUUUCAAAAUUUGCUUAAACCCAAAACCUCCUUGUCCUCUUUUAUAAUGCUUAAAAGUACAGUUUUACUAGUGCUGAUGUGAGUUAGUUUAAAGAUUUAAUGUAAUAGUCUUUUAAAUCAUAUUUUGAUAUUCGGUUUUUAAAAUAACGUUUGUUUUCAGAUCAUUUUCAGCAUCAGAUGUCUGUAAUUUAAGUUGUUGAAGAAAAUACAUUUUGUCAUUUAAGUACAAGUUACAUAAUAUUUCGAGUGUUUCACUUUUUUUCUUUUUUUACUCCUUUCCUCUUGAUGUCUAUAUAAGUUGACAGAUGGCUUUUUACUUCUGUAUCGUUGUAGUCUGAUGCAAAGUGUUUCACCAUCAGACCAUAAAUGUGGAUAAAGAAGGUGUUUGUCUCAGUUACAGCUGACUGUUAAAAAGGGGCAUUAAUCUUAACCCUUUAGUAAAAUGUGCAAAUGAGACCCUUAUUCUGAAUGUGUUCUGUACAUGUCCAAAAAAAGCUCAUAAAACUAAUACCUUGUAUAAUUCCACCUGCUUCAGUCACAAAAUGCUCCAUUCAGAAACGGGUCAAAUUCAGAAUAUCCACAAACAAAUAAGUUAUUUACAUGAUAGUCAUCACAUUUGCAUUCAUGUGCAUGUAAACGUACUUGGUGUUGAUCAGCCACCGGUGACUGACCACAUGAACUACACUGUUUUAAUGGUGCAUCAACACACAACGCAAGUGAUGUGACUGGACACAAACCAAGAAGAAACGCAAACGCCAUCUGAUGGCAGGUUUAAAUCACAUUAAACCUGUAGUCAGUGCUUAAUGAAAGAUCUAACUUGGGUAAUUGGAUUACUUUGUAUAAAUUAAAUAAACAUAAGUGUGGCUGAGCA